rnacentral:tRNA from 1 species
CAAGAUAUAGUCCGGAGACACAUUGCACUUACGCUGCAAAAAGAUUGGUUCAACCCCAUUUAUCUUGA